AAAACCGAAGUUCAAAGGGAAGCGACUUGCCCAUGGCCACCCUCCUGAUGAUUAGGAUUUGCUUCCAGGGAGUCUGGCGCUGAGACCAUCUUCUUAACCACCUCUCCACACGGCCUCUCUAAGAUGGUGCUAAAAGCCCCAGGAAGCCUGGCGUCCCAGGAUCUGCCUCUACUUUUUGAAGAGCUUACCUGCAUUGAUAUCAGAGUUCAGGAUAAUUCCACUCAAGGCAGAUUUCUCUCCCCAAGAAAUUCUGACUCACAAAUUGGAGCAGCCUGAUUAAUCAAGAGGGAUUUUGCGGCAAAUGCCAUCAGACAUCCCGCCAUCCCCUUUCAGGAGGGGAGAAGCCCUGCUCUGGCUGGUGUCACCCAGCAAUCAGGACCACCUGUAAGGAUGCAAAGGUGAGGAGAAAACCCAGUGCUUGAGAGUUGAUCUUCCCUGCAGAGGAACAGCUCCCAGCAUCCAUGGCUUAAGUACAUUACAUCUCAGAAUUCAGCACAGGGUGUGUCAAGACAAUCCAGCAGAGGAUGAUGAGGUGUUUCAACAAAGUGUUCUAAGAUAGGUGAUAUCCACAUGCAGAAGAAGGAAGUUAGAUGCUUACCUCACACCACAUACAGAUGGACUCUGGAUCUAAAUAGCCCCCACUGCCAUGAAGAUGCACCUUUGGAUUCUGAGUCCUGCCCAGAUCUGAAUCCCAGGAGGUAGCAUCACUCCUCCAGCAGUAGGACGUGGCAGUGCCCUGACAGCAGUGAGAAUAAACCCUAGAGCUUCUAAGGGGCCAAACGUGCCCUUUGAGAAUGAAGUCAAGGAGAACUGAGAGACUGAGAAGGUGAUCAGGUAUAGAUGAUGUUGUUUGCAACCCUGAACAUGGCACUUCCUGAAGCAUGGUCUAUCUUCAGACUUUUCAAUUAUGUAGCUGAUGAGGAUGCUCACCCCAACCCUGAGUAUUUGUUACCCGUGCUCAGGACAGGAGUCCUGGCCACCGCUCAGAUCCGGUUCUUGGGCUAAGGAGCUUCUGCUCUGAGCUGGCAGCAGACACCCAAUAAGCCUCAGUGACAGGGCCCUGCUGAGGGAUAAGGAAGAUACGUGAGGACCCAGGGAAGAGCAGCCUGCUGACUACAAGUUCCUCGAGGGCAAGGACCACGUCUGAUGAAUGUCCCACUGCAGCCCAUCCCACAGCACGACUGUAUCGUGAUAAAAGCAGAAUGAGAGAAUAAAUGAAGGAAUGCAAGGCAGACCGCAAGGAAAGCCAAUGGAGAGGUAAAACCAAGCAGCCCCUGGAGGCCUGAGGAGAGGGUGCUAUCUCCAUCUGGGGGAUCUAGGAAGACUUCCUGGAGGAGGUGGCAUUGGAACUUUGGGGAUUCUCUGGCUGUGAAUUCAGAGCGUUCUCCUGCCUCAUUUAGACAUUCAAAGACGACUUACUAAUUAACAACUGGAGAAAGAAUUCUGCAUGCAGACUGUUUGUACCUUAGCCGAGUGUCCCCAAACUUGGGAAACACAGUAGCACUUUAUGUAGGUUUCCAGUUGAGCCUGGAAUCAGUGUGAGUUGUUGGGAGGGGUUUGGGGAGUGGGGUAGACAGGCACAGGCUCUGCAGAGCCUGGCACCACACCCCUCUCUCUUCCCUUCAGAGAACAUCUUUCCAGAGACCAUCACAUUUGAUCUUGCCGAUUAUUUGGUCAACCUCUUUUCUCUGGGCAGCGCUGAUGGGGAACAACAUAUGCUUGGUCUUCUGCCUUCCUCUCCUAUGCACACCCCUACACACACCCACAUCACACCCAUUUAUCUCCAUGACAACAAGGGGAGAGAGCGUGGCCUGAUGCUUCCAGGCCUCAAUACGCGGACUUACAACCUAGAGACUUAGCAGUUCUGGCCCUGCAGCCUCACAAAGAAGGACUAGAGUGAUUGCAGAGGCCAGGCAUGAAGAAGGGAGGGCUUUGGGGUUGCUUGUGCCCUCAGAGAGGAGGGGUCAUUGCCCUGAGAGCCCUACUGCUGGCCGUUUCCUGAUGAAGAGGUUGGUUAUUUUGCCCCCUCAUCCCUUGUCAGGGAUAAGCAGCGAUUGGGGGAAGGAGGGCCAGCUUUGUAUCCAAUCCCAGCUCUACCAUUUCCUUCUUGUGAGUUCUCUGAACCUCUGGAUCUGCAUCUAUAAAAGGACAACUCCUUGAAAGGACUUCUGUGACUUCUAGAAAUUGGCAUAAAAAAAAAUCUAUCAACGCCUCUGUUUUAGAAACUAACCAAAUGAGAUUGGUCAAAAUCAGAGAUAGGGUGUGAGGGGUGGAGAACGUGGAAACCAGCAAAAUAGGGAAACAACUAGUCAGUCUAAUUAAGAAAAAGAGUAGAGAUAAAACAAUACCAAAAUUAGGAGUUGGAAGGGGAAUAUGGCCAUUGGUAUUACACAGAGGACAUUAUAAAACUAAUAUGAGGAUAUAUGAACCAACUCUGUAAAAUAUGUUGAAGACAAGAUCAAAUGCAUAUUUUUCUAUGAAAACAUAAACUUAACUUUAAAAAUGGCAGUU